rnacentral:misc_RNA from 1 species
UACGGAGGGGGCUAGCGUUAUUCGGAAUUACUGGGCGUAAAGCGCACGUAGGCGGACUGGAAAGUUGGAGGUGAAAUCCCAGGGUUCAACCUUGGAACUGCCUUCAAAACUCCCAGUCUUGAGAUCGAGAGAGGUGAGUGGAAUUCCGAGUGUAGAGGUGAAAUUCGUAGAUAUUCGGAGGAACACCAGUGGCGAAGGCGGCUCACUGGCUCGAUACCGACGCUGAGGCGCGAAAGCGUGGGGAGCAAACAGG